ACGUAGGGGGCAAGCGUUGUCCGGAAUCAUUGGGCGUAAAGAGCGUGUAGGCGGUCUGGUCAGUCGGUUGUGAAAGUCAGGGGCUCAACCCUUGAAUGCCGGCCGAUACUGCCGGGCUAGAGUCCGGAAGAGGUGAGUGGAACUCCUGGUGUAGCGGUGAAAUGCGCAGAUAUCAGGAAGAACACCGAUGGCGAAGGCAGCUCACUGGGACGGUACUGACGCUGAGACGCGAAAGCGUGGGGAGCAAACAGGA
rnacentral:rRNA from 1 species